CCACCAGCUGGCGUUCCCUGG
rnacentral:miRNA from 1 species